rnacentral:rRNA from 1 species
GACGAACGCUGGCGGCGUGCCUAAUACAUGCAAGUCGAGCGGACYWWUCCUUCGGGRWWGGUUAGCGGCGGACGGGUGAGUAACACGUAGGCAACCUGCCUGUAAGAUCGGGAUAACUACCGGAAACGGUAGCUAAGACCGGAUAGCUGGUUUCUCCGCAUGGGGGAAUCAUGAAACAYGGGGCAACCUGUGGCUUACGGAUGGGCCUGCGGCGCAUUAGCUAGUUGGUGGGGUAAUGGCCCACCAAGGCGACGAUGCGUAGCCGACCUGAGAGGGUGAUCGGCCACACUGGGACUGAGACACGGCCCAGACUCCUACGGGAGGCAGCAGUAGGGAAUCUUCCGCAAUGGGCGCAAGCCUGACGGAGCAACGCCGCGUGAGUGAUGAAGGUUUUCGGAUCGUAAAGCUCUGUUGCCAAGGAAGAACGCCUCGGAGAGUAACUGCUC